rnacentral:rRNA from 1 species
GAUGAACGCUGGCGGCGUGCCUAAUACAUGCAAGUCGAGCGAACAGACGAGGAGCUUGCUCCUCUGACGUUAGCGGCGGACGGGUGAGUAACACGUGGAUAACCUACCUAUAAGACUGGGAUAACUUCGGGAAACCGGAGCUAAUACCGGAUAAUAUAUUGAACCGCAUGGUUCAAUAGUGAAAGACGGUUUUGCUGUCACUUAUAGAUGGAUCCGCGCCGCAUUAGCUAGUUGGUAAGGUAACGGCUUACCAAGGCAACGAUGCGUAGCCGACCUGAGAGGGUGUCCGGCAACACUGGAACUGAGCCACGCUCCAGACUCCUACGGGAGGCACCAGUAGGGAAUCUUCCGCAAUGGGCGAAAGCCUGACGGAGCAACGCCGCGUGAGGGAUGAAGGUCUCCGGAUCGUAAAACUCUGUUAUUAGGGAAGACCAAAUGUGUAAUUAACUAUGCACGUCUUGACGGUACCUAAUCAGAAAGCCACGGCUAACUACGUG